rnacentral:rRNA from 1 species
AUUGAACGCUGGCGGCAUGCCUUACACAUGCAAGUCGAACGGCAGCGGGGACUUCGGUCCGCCGGCGAGUGGCGAACGGGUGAGUAAUGUAUCGGAACGUACCAUUGAGUGGGGGAUAACGUAGCGAAAGUUACUCUAAUACCGCAUAUUCUCUCCGGAGGAAAGCAGGGGACCGCAAGCCCUUGCGCCCUUUGAGCGGCCGAUAUCAGAUUCGCUAGUUGGGGGGGUAAAAGCUCACCAAGGCGACGAUCUGUAGCGGGUCUGAGAGGAUGAUCCGCCACACUGGAACUGGGACACGGUCCAGACUCCUACGGGAGGCAGCAGUGGGGAAUUUUGGACAAUGGGGGCAACCCUGAUCCAGCCAUGCCGCGUGAGUGAAGAAGGCCUUCGGGUUGUAAAGCUCUUUCGGCCGGGAAAAAAUCGCAUGGGUUAAUACCCUGUGUGGAUGAUGGUACCGGAAUAAGAAGCACCGGCUAACUACGUGCCAGCCGCCGCAGUAC